rnacentral:rRNA from 1 species
AGAAUGAACGCUGGCGGCAUGCCUAACACAUGCAAGUCGAACGAGACCUUCGGGUCUAGUGGCGCACGGGUGCGUAACGCGUGGGAAUCUGCCCUUAGGUACGGAAUAACUCAGGGAAACUUGUGCUAAUACCGUAUGAUGUCGAGAGACCAAAGAUUUAUCGCCUAGGGAUGAGCCCGCGUAGGAUUAGCUAGUUGGUGGGGUAAAGGCCUACCAAGGCUACGAUCCUUAGCUGGUCUGAGAGGAUGAUCAGCCACACUGGGACUGAGACACGGCCCAGACUCCUACGGGAGGCAGCAGUGGGGAAUAUUGGACAAUGGGCGAAAGCCUGAUCCAGCAAUGCCGCGUGAGUGAAGAAGGCCUUCGGGUUGUAAAGCUCUUUUACCCGGGAAGAUAAUGACUGUACCGGGAGAAUAAGCCCCGGCUAACUCCGUGCCAACAGCCGC